UGUGAAGUCCUCCAACAUCCUCCUUUCUGAAGACUUCGAACCGCAGGUAUCCUGCUCUUCUAUGUUUCAAUCCUAUAUUGAGAUAUGUAUGGGUGAUUGAUCACAGUGUUGUUUUGUUGUCUCACCAUCCUGCAGUUGGCUGAUUUCGGCCUGGCGAAAUGGGCAUCAGCUUCAGCAUCACAACUGAUAUGCAAUGAUGUUGCAGGAACAUUUGGGUUAGUCAUGGAUGAAGAUUUCUCAUGAGAUUUCUUUAGGCAUCUGAUCAGCUAACAAGUAGGAACUGUUUGUGUGCAGGUAUUUGGCUCCAGAAUACUUCAUGUAUGGAAAAGUCAACGAAAAGAUCGAUGUCUAUGCGUUUGGGGUGGUGCUUCUUGAGCUCAUUUCGGGAAGGAAGCCUGUCACCACAGGGUGCUCCAAGGGCCCGGAGAGCUUGGUUAUGUGGGUAUGUCCUCUAAUCUUUAAGCGAUCAUGGAUUUAACUAGCUUUGUCCGAGUUGUGUGGCAUCCAAUACAUGAACCAUAGGAGGAUCUUACAAUGUAGUGAAUUGGAGAUGUCUCACAUUCUAUCUUCUACAAAAUCCUAUGGCUCCAUUCAUACCAGCGCUAACGGACUGGAUGCCGUUAGUUCUAGGAUGGGCGAGCCCUCAAAGGUUCUUGUGUUGCACCCAUUCUAAGUAUAAAGACCUUAUAGAAACAUAAACAAGAAUAUGGUACCUUGAUUGCAGGCAACACAAAUUCUUCAAGCUGGAGAAGUCAAGGAGCUUGUGGAUCCAUGUUUAGGAACUUGCUAUGACAAAGCUGAGUUGGAGCGGAUGAUGCUUGCUGCUUCCCUUUGCAUCAAACGAGCCUCUCGUUCUCGACCC
rnacentral:lncRNA from 1 species